UACGGGGGGAGCAAGCGUUGUUCGGAUUUACUGGGCGUAAAGGGCGCGUAGGCGGUCGUGACAAGUCACUUGUGAAAUCUCCGGGCUUAACUCGGAACGGUCAAGUGAUACUGUCGGACUAGAGUACAGAAGGGGCAACUGGAAUUCUCGGUGUAGCGGUGAAAUGCGUAGAUAUCAGGAGGAACACCGGUGGUGUAGACGGCUUUCUGGACCGUAACUGACGCUGAGACACGAAAGCGUGGGUAGCAAACAGG
rnacentral:rRNA from 1 species